UGGGGAAUAUUGGACAAUGGGGGCAACCCUGAUCCAUCAAUGCCGCGUGUGUGAAGAAGGUCUUCGGAUUGUAAAGCACUUUCGACGGGGACGAUGAUGACGGUACCCGUAGAAGAAGCCCCGGCUAACUUCGUGCCAGCAGCCGCGGUAAUACGAAGGGGGCUAGCGUUGCUCGGAAUGACUGGGCGUAAAGGGCGUGUAGGCGGUUUACACAGUCAGAUGUGAAAUCCCCGGGCUUAACCUGGGAGCUGCAUUUGAUACGUGUAGACUAGAGUGUGAGAGAGGGUUGUGGAAUUCCCAGUGUAGAGGUGAAAUUCGUAGAUAUUGGGAAGAACACCGGUGGCGAAGGCGGCAACCUGGCUCAUGACUGACGCUGAGGCGCGAAAGCGUGGGGAGCAAACAGGUUAGAUACCCUGGUAGUCCACGCUGUAAACGAUGUGUGCUAGAUGUUGGGUAACUUUGUUAUUCA
rnacentral:rRNA from 1 species